rnacentral:pre_miRNA from 12 species
GUCCAUGGGGUUUUCCUUUGUGCUUGAUCUAACCAUGUGGUAGAACAAUACAAAUUGAACAUGGUUCUGUCAAGCACCAUGGAAGGCUGCAUACUC